UUACGGCCACAUCACAUUGAAACCCCCCCGUUUCUCGUGCGAUCACUGAAGUUAAGAAAACUUGAGCUUGGUCAGUACCUUGAUGGGUGACCACUUGGAAAUGCCAGGCGCU